UACGUAGGGUGCAAGCGUUGUCCGGAAUUAUUGGGCGUAAAGGGCUCGUAGGCGGUCCAUCGCGUCGGGAGUGAAAAGCUGGGGCUUAACCCCCCAGUCCUGCUUCCGAUACGGGUGGACUAGAGGUAGGUAGGGGAGAUCGGAAUUCCUGGUGUAGCGGUGAAAUGCGCAGAUAUCAGGAGGAACACCGGUGGCGAAGGCGGAUCUCUGGGCCUUACCUGACGCUGAGGAGCGAAAGCAUGGGGAGCAAACAGG
rnacentral:rRNA from 1 species